rnacentral:misc_RNA from 1 species
UAGUUUAUGGAACCUGGCUGA